AUCUGCUCAUUCUGUCAGGGAUCUCUGGUGUUCAUAGAGGACGAAAUUGAACAAGAAGCCGCAAGAAAGCAUUGCUUUCUCCUAUGAAGUGGUAUGUCCAGAGACCUGGGUAAAGUUUCAUAUUAAAGAUGACCCUGGAGGAAGCGAGAAAUCACUGUAAAAAGAAGAGAAAUUUUUCAGAUGUUCUUACAGUUCAAGAGCCGGUUCUUCCUUAAAGAGAUGUUACCUCAUUACCGGGGCCCUCAGAAUUUGUGGCUAGGAAUUUUAUACGACACUGACAGUGCCAUCAAAGUGAUAGAAGUGGAGCAAUUUAAAGAUCUGCACCAAGGUGUGAUCUCAGCAGCUGCGUUGGUGGCCAUUGUGCUGUUUGCUGUGGUGAUUGGAUCAUUAUGGCUCCUUUACAAGAGAAACUCCCUGUGCAUCCUAAGGCUUCUAAAGUUUUUACAGACAGACAAGUUCCCAAGGAAAUUACCAAAAUGAAAAUGUUUUACUCCCAGACCUAGAGACACAAGCAGGGGACUAGCAUGUAUUUGUGUGAGCGUAUAGGUGCAUUGUUUCCCUUUGUGUUUUGUGUGAGAGUGUGUUCAUUCAGUCAGGGAAACUGCAGUAGGAAUGAUGAGGAUAGUUGAGUUGUCUGUCCAUACUGUAGCUAAAGGAGGAUACUGUGCACAAACAGGUCAGAUAAAGCCUCAAGACAGACCAUUUAAACGCAUUAUGAAAGGGAUAUCCUCUAUGAAGUGAAAAAAUGGGUCUUUUUCUCUUUGUCUCAUAUUCAGGACAACAACAGAAUUCCUCCUGGGUGUAAAAGUUCAAAUGGGCCAAAUGGCUUGUUUGUUGAGUGUGGUUUAUUAUUGUUAAGGUGUUAAGGCCUGUUUACAUUAACACAAAUGUUUGGCAUGAAAAUGCGUAAACAAAAAAAACAUUUGGACAGUUUGAAUUUCACUGCAAUUUCACUCUCUGAUAGUAUAUUGUGCUUAUAGGAACGCAUAAAUACUGCAAUGCGCUACGCAACUUUGUGCUUCUGACACCCACUUGUCAUGAAGGAGAAAAGAGGCUUCUUUCCAGAUUGUUCCUCUGUUGUUUAUUGCCUAUUAUCAAAAUAUGCCACCAAGUCAUAGUUUUAUGUAACAGCAGCGUGUUUGGGCACAUAAUCAAAAGUGUGACUCUAAUUGGGUGCCUAGUUUUCUUUCAGUGCAAUGGCAAAGAGAUUAGAACUCCUCUCCUCCAUCAGUUGUUUAUCGCAUAAAUUUUUGUAUCAAAUAUUCGUCUGUAAGUUGUAUACAUAAAGAAAUAAAUAGUGUUUUGAAAAGAAUGUAUAACAAAAACAUAUGUGUUCCUAAUCUUAAUGGGCACGAUUAAUCUUGUUACCAAACUUUGUAAUCUUUUUAAAAAUAUAAUAACUUGCUCCACCUCUUAAACAAAUUUUCUUUCUGAUGACAUCACCAAGGCCACUUGCAUUUUAACCAAUUGUUGUCUGGCAGUGUGUCAAGAGGGGAAGAGUCAUUCACAGUUGACUGCAAACUGUUGUAUGAAGCAGACACUUUUAAUAAUGGGUAACUUUUCAAAACAUCCAUCACAUUAUGAAAGUAAAAGGGGUUGUGGGUGUCAUUUCAUGUUGACUUUUAAGUGUUACUCUUCAAUAUUUGCAGCUAUUCAGCAAUGCAACUUUCGGAUCUCUAUGAUCCUCCAAUCCAGGGUGAACUGCUUUUAUGAAGUCUUUAAAUAGUUCAUCUACAGCAGGAUGCUUGUUCUUACAAGUAUUUUGUUCUAGUUAAAACAAUAAACUACUAUCAAAAAGAGUCCACUUAUCCAAAACAAACUACUGCACACCAAAGCAAAGCAGAACAACUUGGCCAUGAACAAAUGUUUACUUUGCACCGUUGGUGGUGUUACCAGUGUUACAACCUUAUUUUCAUAUUGUUUUCUCUCCUCUGAAAUAUGAAACUGGUUUGAUCUGAAGUGUGUAUGCUAGGAUUACAUGUUUGUUCUUUAUACGCACCUUGGUUUUGCACAGCUCCCAGAUCACCAGAGCCGUGUUGUUGUAAUAAAGGCCACAGAUGCACUUUUUUCUUUUCUUUCUUUUUCAAUUCUUAUUCCGUGGUUUAAAAAGCAAAUCUAAGUUUAAAAACGUCCUCUUCUUUUUAGCUGUGUUUGCGUCUCUGUUUUACUGAUUGUGCUUCUCUGACUUUUUGCAUUGUCUAAUGGAAAUUAUUAAUGCUUAAUUUAAGAAUUCAUUCUGUUGCAAAAAUGUGAAUGAAGAACAUUGUUUUUAAUCAUCUAGUGUUUCUCUAAAUUUUUUGGGAACAAGAACACACACAAAGACUGUAAAUUUAAGUUUCAGAAAUCCCCUCUGUACUUCCUAAACCAUGCAUAUUAAACCACCUUGUAUAAUUUGUAAAAAUAAUAAUAAUAAUAAUAAUAAUAAUCAAUUGUGGUAAUGAGUGAUUGUGGUAGUGAGAAAUAUGACAAACAAGGCUUCAUUGUUUUGAUUUUAAUCACUAAAACAUUUCAUAUUUUGGUAAUAAAUUUUGAUAAGCAGUUACAUUCUAAAAUUCAGUAGCUUCUUUCCAUUCUGAACUUUUAUAUUACUGUAAAACUGGAUUUGUGUGUUUUUCCAUGUGUGAUUGUGUUUAAAUUGUGUUUAAAGUGUAUUUUGUUCUUUUUAGUAUUGUUUAGCAGUUUUCAGUAUAAGGUAAAAUUGUCAGUGUCUCUUUUGAGAGUUUUUUUUUCUCUCGUUUACAAGAACACUUGAUCAGUUUAACGUGACCAAAUGUAUUUUCAGUAUGUUUCACCUGAUCCGUGAUUUAAAAUAAAUUAUUUAAAACUC
ensembl:lncRNA